UAGAGUAAUGCGUGACCAACCUGCCCCAUGCUCCAGAAUAGCUCUUGGAAACGGGUGGUAAUGCUGGAUGCUCCAACUUGACGCAUGUCUUGUUGGGAAAGUGUUUAGUGGCAUGGGAUGGGGUCGCGUCCUAUCAGCUGUAGGCGGGGUAAUGGCCCACCUAGGCUUCGACGGGUAGCCGGCCUGAGAGGGCGGACGGCCACAUUGGGACUGAGAUACGGCCCAGACUCCUACGGGAGCAGCAGC
rnacentral:rRNA from 1 species